rnacentral:lncRNA from 10 species
ACGCCUGGCCGCUUGCUGACAUGUUUUUGCUUUGGGGCAGUCUCAUAGGAGCUUUAGGUCUCACAGCACAAACCCCUCGGAGUCAGCCCAGGCCCAUGCCAUGUGCAGACUUUGGCAGUUUCCCAAUCUUGGUAUAAAGGUAAACGAUUCUCUUCCCAGGGGUUCGGGCCGGCCUAGUGCUGUUAGAGGCUGUAUUCUAGGAAAGCCUAUGACGGUUUGGGAAACUGGGCCAUGCUG